rnacentral:rRNA from 1 species
GACGAACGCUGGCGGCGUGCCUAAUACAUGCAAGUAGAACGCUGAAGGAGGAGCUUGCUUCUCUGGAUGAGUUGCGAACGGGUGAGUAACGCGUAGGUAACCUGCCUGGUAGCGGGGGAUAACUAUUGGAAACGAUAGCUAAUACCGCAUAACAGUAGAUGUUGCAUGACAUUUGCUUAAAAGGUGCAAUUGCACCACUACCAGAUGGACCUGCGUUGUAUUAACUAGUUGGUGGGGUAAGGCUCACCAAGGCGACGAUACAUAGCCGACCUGAGAGGGUGAUCGGCCACACUGGGACUGAGACACGGCCCAGACUCCUACGGGAGGCAGCAGUAGGGAAUCUUCGGCAAUGGACGGAAGUCUGACCGAGCAACCUCCGCGUGAGUGAAGAAGGUUUUCGGAUCGUAAAGCUCUGUUGUAAGAGAAGAACGAGUGUGAGAGUGGAAAGUUCACACGUGUGA